UCACUUCGUGGAAUACAGCCAACUCAACUAAUAAGGCUGUGAUGAGCAACUCUACUUUUUCUCUACACGUGUCACAUGUACC